rnacentral:rRNA from 1 species
AUGCUUGUCAUUCUUGGAUACACAAGUGAUUUGUCUGAUUGUUUGCAAAGAAGAGACCAAGACAUUCUUUCUGCAAUGGCAAUGGUUAGAUUGGCAAAAGAUAGAAUACAAGAACUGAGGUCUAAUGGGUGGGAUGCAUUUCUUCAAAGAGUCACAUUAUUUUGUAACAAGCAUAGCAUUCAAGUUCCUACAAUGGAGGAUAAUUAUGUGCCUUAUGGAAGAUCAACACGGUUUGUUCGACCCCAAACAAAUGAUGAUCACUUUAGAAGAGAAGUAUUUCUUGGAGUAAUUGAUCAAAUUAGUCAAGAGCUUGAAAAUCGGUUUGACGAGAUCAAUAUGGAGUUGCUAUCUUGUAUGUCUGCUUUGAAUCCUGCCAACUCAUUUGCUGCU